AUUUCUCACAUUUCAUCCCUCUUUACUGUAUCAGUGCCUCCAUCACCUCACUUUGCUAUCGCAACCUCUUCACUUUGCCGUCGCCGCCAUCUCCUCCUCUUCCUCACACCAAGUUCUACACCGAACGACUCAAGCUCAGUGAAUUUGCAUACUCCCCAUUUCGGUCCUCCUUUAAAGAUGUCAACCAUGGCACCUGAAGCAUACAAGGAGGUAGUCCUUCAGGCAAAAGAACAUAUUAAGGUAGGGGAUAUUCACUUUGGUAGUGGAAAAAUUCCAGCCUUGUUUCGUGUAUUCUGUUAAUCUAUAAUCUCCUCCUCUAUUGGUUGCUGUUUUUUUGUUAUCAGUUUUGAAUUUCAUUCUUGCUCUGUUUUUUAGAUGUUCUCCAAGCUCUUGGCUAAUGCUAUCUUAUUGUAUGUAGCCGUCUCUGUCAAUGGUAAAAAAAAUUAUGACCUUGAUAAAAAGUGAAGAAUAGAUAGUUUUUGGGUCCAUUUACACAGUCCCACUUAA